rnacentral:rRNA from 1 species
AUUGAACGCUGGCGGCAUGCCUUACACAUGCAAGUCGAACGGCAGCGCGGACUUCGGUCUGGCGGCGAGUGGCGAACGGGUGAGUAACAUAUCGGAACGUGCCAGGAAGUGGGGGAUAACUAGUCGAAAGAUUAGCUAAUACCGCAUACGCCCCGAGGGGGAAAGUGGGGGAUCGCAAGACCUCAUGCUUGCUGAGGGGCCGAUAUCUGAUUAGAUAGUUGGUGGGGUAAAGGCCCACCAAGGCGACGAUCAGUAGCUGGUCUGAGAGGACGACCAGCCACACUGGGACUGAGACACGGCCCAGACUCCUACGGGAGGCAGCAGUGGGGAAUUUUGGACAAUGGGGGCAACCCUGAUCCAGCAAUGCCGCGUGAGUGAAGAAGGCCUUCGGGUUGUAAAGCUCUUUUGUCCGGGAAGAAAUCCCACCUGCUAAUACCGGGUGGGGAUGACGGUACUGGAAGAAUAAGCACCGGCUAACUACGUGCCAGCAGCCGCCGUAAAAC